AACGAACGCUGGCGGCAGGCUUAACACAUGCAAGUCGAACGGAUCCUUCGGGAUUAGUGGCAGACGGGUGAGUAACGCGUGGGAACGUACCCUUUGCUACGGAAUAACUUAGGGGAAAUUGAGCUAAUACCGUAUGUGCCAUACGGGGGAAAGAUUUAUCGGCAAAGGAUCGGCCCGCGUUGGAUUAGCUAGUUGGUGGGGUAAUGGCCUACCAAGGCGACGAUCCAUAGCUGGUCUGAGAGGAUGAUCAGCCACACUGGGACUGAGACACGGCCCAGACUCCUACGGGAGGCAGCAGUGGGGAAUAUUGGACAAUGGGCGCAAGCCUGAUCCAGCCAUGCCGCGUGAGUGAUGAAGGUCUUAGGAUUGUAAAGCUCUUUCACCGGUGAAGAUAAUGACGGUAGCCGGAGAAGAAGCCCCGGCUAACUUCGUG
rnacentral:rRNA from 1 species